AAACCUUACUUAUUCCAAAAUCACAAUUUCAACAUGGGUUACCAACAAUAACUUGAUAUCUCACUCAAUAUCAACUAGGAUUUCAAGAACUAGUAUCAACUUCCUUACCUUAAUAUUGACCUAAGAUGACCGAUUGCUUCACUCCUUUCUUCCUCCUUUCAAUUCGGCCAAGAAUAACCAAAGAACACAACUUGUUUUCAUCACCGAAUGCUCUUGUUCUCUCUUUUUUUUUCUUUAGAAUCG
rnacentral:lncRNA from 1 species